rnacentral:piRNA from 2 species
UGGCCUGUGAGUGGGAAACUUACCUGC